AAGUCGUAACAAGGUAUCCGUAGGUGAACCUGCGGAUGGAUCAUUAACGUUCUAUUUGACAUAGAUAAACGUAAAAGGCGAAGGUAUUAAUACUAACGUCAGUUAGUAUUGAUGUCUUUCUCUCUUAUUAUUUAUUCUAUUCAAAUAACAUAAACGUACACCCUUGUGGUGAAUAUAGGAACUAGAGUGUGAUUCUAGUGAAAGUGUAAAAGGGAGUAGAGAUGGCAGUGUAAUACAGUCUAAUCAUUGUAUUGUAAUGCCAUUACUACUCUUUUGUCUACAUCUAGCUAGAAUCGCUUCUGUCUAUUAUAUAAACGCAAUUCUAUUUCAUUUAUUAAGACUAAAGUUUACCUUGUGGAUCAGUAACAUGAUUACCAAGUAAAACAAUUAAUAAAUCUAAUACAACUGCUAGCAACGGAUCACUCGGCUCUC
rnacentral:misc_RNA from 1 species